UACAGAGGCCUCAAGCGUUUAGGCGGAAUCACUGGGCUUAAAGCGCGUGUAGGCGGAUCGUUAAGUACCUUGUGAAAUCCCACGGCUCAACCGUGGAACUGCUGGGUAUACUGGGCGGUCUUGGGCCACUCAGGGGUUGCCGGAACAAGCGGUGGAGCGGUGAAAUGCGUAGAUAUCGCUUGGAACGCCAAAGGUGAAAA
rnacentral:rRNA from 1 species